GAAGGGGCGCUGUUUAUGCCUUUAGUCCCGCACUUGAGAAAAGGAGGCAGGUGAAUCUCUGUUAAGUGAGAGGUCAGCCUGGUCUGCAAAGUGGGUUCCAGGACAGCUAGGGAUGUUGUUACACAGGGAAACCCUAACUCAAAGAACAAAAUAAAACAAAAACAAAAACAAAAAAUUUUGACAGACUGAGAUUUAAUUUAUUUUUUUUUUAAUUUGGUUGAAUUAUAUGAAGUUGCUGAUAUUCUGCUUUGACAUACAAAAAUGGCAAUUUUUCAUGAUUCAAUCUUACAUUAUCAACUCUUGUAGGGAUAUAAUACUGUUAUAAAUAUUUUCUCAAUUGCCAUUUGAACCAUUCUGGCUUAUAUAGAAAUACCUUUGGCAAAUAAUCUCUGCUAUUAGAAAGUAUUCCUAUAUACUCUUUAACGAUUUCAUUUUUCAAAAGCUGUGUACUUAGGGCUAGAGAGAUGGCUUAGAGGAUAGAGCACUGAUUGUUCUUCUGGAGGCCCUGGCUCCAUUUCCAGGACCUCGUUGGUAGCUCACAGCCAGCUAUGACUCCAGCUACAGGAGAUCCAGUGCCCUCUUCUGGCCUCUUUGGCACCAGGGAUGCACAUGUUAUAUAGAUACACACAGCCACAUAUCUAUAAUCAUUUAAAUCAAUCAAUCAAUCAAUCAAACAAACAAAUGAAAAAAAUCCCCUCUGGAACUUUGGGAAUCACAGGAAGAUAGUCUAUUUUUUAAUUUUUAAAAUUUAUUUUUUACCUCCAGAGCCCCGUGGGGCGUCACUGCUGAAACCAGUUGGUAGCUGCUAGCACAGAGCCUGGGCACUACUGAACUAGACUCUCUUUAUUUAGUUCCUCAAUCUUUUGGUAUAUGAAUCCCUUUGGGUGAAAAUAUGUUUCUCUCUAUAAAAAUCUGUUGAGGUUAAGACUGGUAAAAGUAGAGCUAUCAAAAGUCAAAAGUUAUUUCAAGAAUCUUACAUAGUUUGGUAAUUGUAGUUUUUCAAUUAUAGUUAUGAACAGAUAGCUUGGUAACAUUGAGAAACCUAGUUGAGAAUUAAAAUGGUCUUUAAGGACUACAUAAGUGUGUUUUUAACAAAAUGUUUGUUGUAACAACUUUUAAUGCCAGGUCUUAUUUCUGUCUCUAAAACAGGCAAAACCUUCAACAGUAGAAGUUCUAGAAAAUAUAGAUAAGGUAUGUUCUUUGGCUCUAAAAUAUUUUAAUUAUUUUAGAUGUUAAUAUUACUUUAGUAAUUUUAUAUUGGAAAAGAGAUAUGGGAACCUAAAGAUGAUAUAGAACAGUGCUUCUCAGCCUUCCUAAUGCUGUGACCCUUUACUAUAAUUCCUCAUGUGUGGUGACACCAACCAGAAAAUUGUUGGGAGAACCCUCAUGUACUGUGUCAACUGGCUAUGAUUUGUGUCUGUAUUCUCAGUUGUUAAUGUCUGUGCCUCUGGUGCCAGGCUAGCAGAAAAAGUAAAGUAAAUGUUUGUUGCUCUCUUACCUGCCCCAAAAGAAAUGGCAAACUGCCAUGGACGAGGUCACCUUGUCCUCAGUGCCAAGGGGGCGAGACAGAGAGAUGGGUCAGGUGUUGUCCUGCUGCUGAUUGGUUCAGACUCGAGGAGUAAAGAGUGAGUCUUUUUGCAUAAUGAACUGGCAGCUGGAGCUGGGCGGGAGAGAAAGAACCUGAACAGGGGGAGAGCCCUGUGGAGAGAAGUUGGGUGAAGUGUGAUGGACAAGCUGAGGGACUUCCCAGCAAACAGCCUUAUACUUACAGAUGUCUCCCUGUCUUUAUUAUUAGAACCCAAGCAGGACCCAAGAGCCUAACAACAUCAAAUUAUUUUGUUGCUACUUCAUAACUGCAAUUUUGCUACUAUUAUGAAUUAUAGUGUAUAUAAUCUAUAUCUGAUAUAUAGAACGUUUGAUAUGUGACUCCCUCAAAGGGGUUGUGGUGACCCACAGGUUAACAACAACUAAUACAGAGGAGUCCUGAGAACUAUGAUC
rnacentral:lncRNA from 1 species